rnacentral:rRNA from 1 species
GUGGGGAAUAUUGGACAAUGGGCGAAAGCCUGAUCCAGCCAUGCCGCGUGAGUGAUGAAGGCCCUAGGGUUGUAAAGCUCUUUCACCGGUGAAGAUAAUGACGGUAACCGGAGAAGAAGCCCCGGCUAACUUCGUGCCAGCAGCCGCGGUAAUACGAAGGGGGCUAGCGUUGUUCGGAAUUACUGGGCGUAAAGCGCACGUAGGCGGACUAUUAAGUCAGGGGUGAAAUCCCGGGGCUCAACCCCGGAACUGCCUUUGAUACUGGUAGUCUCGAGUCCGGAAGAGGUGAGUGGAAUUCCGAGUGUAGAGGUGAAAUUCGUAGAUAUUCGGAGGAACACCAGUGGCGAAGGCGGCUCACUGGUCCGGUACUGACGCUGAGGUGCGAAAGCGUGGGGAGCAAACA